AUUCAGCUGACGAGUUCCGAAUAGGACGAAAGGCGUGUAAAACUGGAU
rnacentral:hammerhead_ribozyme from 1 species